GGGGGUGCGAAGGCGAGAGAAAGAGAGCGAGGAAAAAUGGGAGGGGCGAGAAAGAAAUAGCUAUUUCUUUCUUGCCCCUCCCAUUUUUUCUCGCUCUUUCUCUCGCCUUCGCAUCCCCC
rnacentral:sRNA from 1 species